CGCCGGCCGCUCGCCGCCUCGCCGCCGCUCUCGGGCUCCGGCCGGGUCUCGCGCGCAGUCUUCUCGUGAGGGGCCUCGCGCCGCCCGGCGCACGCCGCCCCCCUGCCUCGGGGCGCGGGGUCUCGCGGGCCCCGCUCCCGCCCUCCGCUCGCCUGGCCCGGACCGGAAGCGGCGCCGCACGGCCUGGGCCUGGCGCGGGGGGCGGGCACCGGGGCCCGGUCCGACAUGGGCAAGAAGCACAAGAAGCACAAGUCGGACAAACACCUCUACGAGGAGUAUGUAGAGAAGCCCUUGAAGCUGGUCCUCAAAGUGGGAGGGAACGAAGUCACCGAGCUCUCCACGGGCAGCUCGGGGCACGACUCAAGCCUCUUCGAGGACAAAAACGAUCAUGACAAGCACAAGGACAGAAAGCGGAAAAAGAGGAAGAAAGGAGAGAAGCAGGUUCCAGGAGAAGAAAAGGGGAGAAAACGGAGACGAGUAAAGGAGGAUAAAAAGAAGCGAGAUCGGGACCGUGUGGAGAAUGAGACAGAGAAAGAUCUCCAGUGCCAGGCCCCUGUAAGAUUAGACUUGCCUCCUGAGAAGCCUCUCACAAGCUCUUUAGCCAAACAAGAAGAAGUAGAACAGACACCCCUUCAAGAAGCUUUGAAUCAACUGAUGAGACAAUUACAGAGAAAAGACCCAAGUGCUUUCUUUUCAUUUCCUGUGACUGAUUUUAUUGCUCCCGGCUACUCCAUGAUCAUUAAGCAUCCAAUGGAUUUUAGCACCAUGAAAGAAAAGAUUAAGAACAAUGAUUACCAGUCCAUAGAAGAACUGAAGGAUAACUUCAAACUAAUGUGUACUAAUGCUAUGAUUUACAACAAACCCGAGACCAUUUAUUAUAAAGCUGCAAAGAAGCUAUUGCACUCAGGGAUGAAAAUUCUCAGCCAGGAGAGAAUUCAGAGCCUGAAGCAAAGCAUAGAAUUCAUGGCAGACUUGCAAAAAAGUCGAAAGCAGAAGGAUAGAACGGACCAGUCUCAGAGUGGGGAGGACAGCGGCUCCUGGCCGAGAGAAAGGGAAGACUCCGGAGACCCUGAAACCCGAGCCUUCAAGGGUCCCAGCAAGGAAAACAAAAAGAAAGACAAAGAUAUGCUUGAAGAUAAAUCUAAGAGCAGUAACUUAGAAAGAGAGCAGGAGCAGAUUGACCGCAUUGUUAAGGAAUCUGGAGGAAAGCUAACCAGGCGGCUUGUUAACAGUCAGUGUGAAUUUGAAAGGAGAAAACCAGAUGGGACGACAACAUUGGGGCUUCUGCAUCCCGUGGAUCCCAUUGUGGGAGAACCAGGCUACUGCCCUGUGAGACUGGGAAUGACAACCGGAAGGCUUCAGUCUGGAGUGAAUACUUUGCAGGGGUUCAAGGAGGACAAAAGGAACAAAGUCACUCCGGUGUUAUACUUGAAUUACGGACCCUACAGUUCUUAUGCUCCACAUUACGACUCCACGUUUGCAAAUAUCAGCAAGGACGACUCUGAUCUAAUCUAUUCAACCUAUGGCGAAGAGUCUGAUCUUCCAAGUGAUUUCAGCAUCCAUGAGUUUUUGGCCACAUGCCAGGAUUAUCCAUACGUGAUGGCAGAUAGUUUACUGGAUGUUUUAACAAAAGGAGGCCAUUCUAGAACCCUUCAAGAGUUGGAGACGGUAAGAAGGCUGCUAAAGAACCGGCCAUCACCUGAAGAUGAAGGUCAGACCAGGACCCUUGACACAGCAAAAGAAAUGGAGAUUACAGAAAUAGAGCCAGAGGGGCGUUUAGACUCCAGUAAUCAGGACAGGCUCACAGCGCUGAAAGCAGUAACAAAUUUUGGUGCUCCUGUUGAAGUGUUUGACUCUGAAGAAGCUGAAAUGUUCCAGAAGAAACUUGAUGAGACCACCAGAUUGCUCCGAGAGCUCCAGGAAGCCCAGAACGAGCGUCUGAGCACCAGACCCCCUCCCAACAUGAUCUGUCUCUUGGGCCCCUCUUACAGGGAAAUGCAUCUCGCUGAACAAGUGACCAAUAAUCUGAAAGAACUCGCACAGCAAGUCGCUCCAGGUGAUAUCGUGAGCACGUAUGGGGUUCGGAAGGCGAUGGGGAUUUCCAUCCCCUCCCCCAUCGUGGAAAACAACUUCGUAGAUUUAACGGAAGAUUUUGAAGAACCUAAAAAGACUGAUGUUGCCGAGUGUGGACUGGAUGGGGUUUGAAGCUAACUGAAAUUACAACCAGCUGGUUCCUGACUUACAAAACAUUUCAUCUGGAUGGUUUCUUCAAAGAGUGGCCUUGUGAGGGAAGGAAGGAAUAGGAUGGACUCUGACCUGUUGCCCUCCGGAGCAGAAAGAGUGGACCUGGGCACAUUUGGGUCAGAUGGUGAUAAGGCUGCUUCUUUGGGGGGCACAGACGGGACCAGAGCAAAGACAUUUCUUUCAAAUCCCCAUCCAGUGAGAUUUCCUAUUGUUACAUUGUGGAAACAAAUACACUUAACAUACUUUUAGAAUCUGCUAGUACGUCCCCUGCAUACCUGCUGGGAAUGACACUGUGUGUGCAAGGACGAGGUGCUUCCCCUGUGCCACCCUCCCCCUCCCCCAGAAAUCACAGCACUGACUUGUCUGGCGGUCCUGUUUGCUUUGCCGUUUUCCAUUUUUGAGACAGUCACUUAGAACUGCUGUAAAAGGAUAAGCUAAAUAAGGGAAUCAUGGAGCUUCAAGUUCACAUUUCUUUUACCGUUUCUCACGGGUCACCCGUGCCUCAGCGUGUCCCUUGCCCUAAUAGUCAUCUAAUUUUAUCUGAAAUGCAAAGGUCAGCUGCUCAAGCAGGCAGCUGAGCAGGAGACCGUGAGACGUGUGGCCCCCUCCUGUAACAGGCGCCACACUGCAGCCUUGCUCAGUGAAUGAGGCGCGUUUAAGACCCUGCGCGGACUGUACAUAGCCCUUCUGUAAAACCCCCCAGCUGGAAGUCGUGUUAGUUUUAUUGUCCUGACCUUGAAACUAACAUUUAGCAAUGUUAGGGUGAAAGAGAAGGGAUUCUCUCAAGAGAGUUAGAAAUGACCCAGUCUUUUAAAAACCUACUACAGGGGCACCUCGGUUUCGGCUCAGUUAACGUCGGACUCGGUUUCGGCUCAGGUCAUGAUCUCGGCUUUGUGGGUGCAAGCCCCACAUAGGGCUCUGUGCUGGCAGCACAGAGUCUGCUUGGGAUUCUCUCUCUACCCCUGUCACUCUCCCUCCCCCACUUGCACUCUCUCUCUCUCUCUCUCUCUCUCAAACUUUGAAAAAAUAAAAGCCUACUUAAAACUGUAUGCUAGAAGACCUUUAAAAUUGUGCAAAUACACAUUUUAGAGUUUAAUUUUAACCUUUCAGUUAGAAACCAAGAAAACAUUAAAUUCAAAACACUAGGACAUUCACGUUUUCCAGAUUGCUAAUUUAAUGAAUGAAAUGCUAAACAAAGUAGAAACACUGGUACUUUAUGAAAAUACAUUUUGAAACAAACGUUACAGAUAUAUAAAUAUUCAGGAUACAGAGUAAUUCCUAGUUGUUUGCACCUUCUCAAAACCUGUUUCUGUAUGUUGACCUGUUAUAUACACAGUGUAGAAGCUGGUUAAUGAUCUUCUUCUCUAUUAGGAAAUUUUCUUAAUGAGUAAACCAGAGAACUUCAGGUGCGAUUGUCACUAGAGUCAGGGAGGCCACCUUUAAGCAAGCCCUUGACCCUUAGAAAAGGUCAGUGUUAGCAAAGACGCUUGUCCUAAGACAGAAUGGCACCUGUGAAGAAAGGGCUCAGGGAUCAGAAAACAGGCAAAUCAAAACUAUGUGCUUUUUAUGGUCAGUUAUGCACUAGGGUCUGCACAUGAAAAACUAAAAACUUACAAAAUAUUUUUAUCUGAGCGCAGUGCUUGAACUGGAAAUAAAAAUCUAUGGUAACUACUUUUUAAACUCCUAAUUGGGAUUUCUGGUGCUGGAAGAGAAAAGUAAUUCGAAUAUUGCAAGAGUAGCAAUAUGUCCACCUCAGAGAGGCCCAACACGGCUGUGUGUGUCUAUAUCGCAUCAGUGACAGAACCUCCCUGACACUCCAGGAGAGCCCUGUUGAGCAGCCCUGGUCACUGCUGAGUUAAGUAGACGCAUUUCAGUGUAGUGCCCCCUGAAACCAGCCCUUUAUAUGGAAAGUCGGUGCAUAAAACAGUUUAAGGUUAUUCCCCUUAACAGAAUUUUCGCCACAAAAUUCCUUUAUCCAGCAAGUUCUUAUACUUCGUUCGCCUCUAUUCUGGUUACAUGCGGGCCUCAGAGCUGCACUAGCGCCCCCAGCACCUCUGCGAACCGGAGAAGCCCCUUCUGAGCCUCAUAAGCCCGUGGACACGUCCCAGGCAGACGGCGGACAGUGGCUUCAGGUCCAGUCCUCCCUGCCCUUGGCUGCAACCCCGGGUAAGCCUUUGAAGUCUCCCAUGGGCCAGGUUUCCUGUACUUGCGGGGGGUUCCUGGAGGACUCCAGCUGGGAAUCCCUGCUCUGUAGUGAUCUUCAGCCAUGUUAGAGCCCCAGGUGUGCUCUGGGGAUGCAGCGGUGAAACUGAUUCAGAAACAGGAAUGAGCAGUUUGGCUCCUCCUCAACCUUGAAACGCAGCGAAGGCUGACUUCUGAUUCUCUUAGACUUGCAGCACCGUAAGACGCCUCUCGCAAACCUGGCUUUUUGCACUUGAUUUGAUUCCUCCCGUUUGGAACAAGUCUGUCUCCGCAGCUCUGAGCGGGCUGGCUUCCCAGAUCCGGGAACCUCUUCUGCACACUUGGGGAGGACAUGCUUUUCGUCUUGAAGCUCUACGAGUGAGCUGUGAGGACUAAAGAAGAGAAAGGGAGCACUGCAGGUUGUCUGCCUUCUGUCUCCACAGACCCCCUUCCUUUCCAGGACAGGAACUGAGAUGUGAAGAUAGCAGGAGGGCGCCAAGUACACACGGUGGUCAGGGAAGGGCUGAGAGGCCGUGCCUUUCUUUCCGGGCUGUGCCACUCCUUGCCUUCUUGCUGUGUGACAGCCGUGUUCCUCAGCCCCAGCGGGGCUAAAUCGUCAGCGGACGUGGUUAAAAAGACAACACACUGGAGGGAAGAGAUUUUUGUCUGGCAUCUAAGAAGUCAUUAGAAAGGGUAAAACUCCACUAAUCUUAUACCCAUUUAAAUCAAACACCUGCCAGAGAGGACAAGUAACAAGCCUCUGUUGUGCUGUUCUCUCCCUACUGUGUGAAAUCAUAGAUGGAAAACCACAUUUUCAGCUCUGUUUACCGGGGUGCCUGUGUGAGAAACAUACAGCCCUGUUGCUGCUCCACUGGGAGAAAGGCGUGCCCAACCCAUCCCGGACAGCUCGUCGUGGUUCUGUACCUAGAAAAGACCAGUCCCACCCGUGCGGCUGGCAGGCCAUGGCCAGUUGUGUGUCUGGCUCCCCCUCUGAGAUCUCCACAGUACCCAGGGGAUCCACAUGUCCCAGCUGCCUGUGCGUGGCGAGGCUCGGUGGUAGCCUCGGGCUGGAGUCUGGUGCACGUUCCGAGAAAUCCUCUAGCACAAGUCCAAGGAGGCCACACACAGCCACCUUGUCAGGGUAGUGAUGGCCAAACCCCUGGAAUGCCUCUGUGACUGGCGUAGGGCCGAGUGCUCCCUGUGGCUUGCUUCAGGGACGGAAAAUCCACUUCCAGCAUGUUCACCUCCCAGAAGCCCUCAAUUCAGUCCCAACCCUUGGAACUUUGCCGUGUCUGUGCAGACAAAGUAAGUCCUCAGCUCGCCUUUGCCUUUGACGUUAAUCAGUCCCCGGCACUCGCAAGAAUAACCUAGUCCCUGGAGGAUGGUGCAGGUCUCCUCAGUAACCUGAAAAGGAAAGGACAACAAACUCUUGGGAUGCAGGAGAAACGCCUGCUGUUGGAGGGAUGGCCAGGAACCAGCCCCGAACACACACGUCUGGUGUCCCUCAAGCAUAUCCGGGCUGGAAUCACAAAGCUGACGGAUGCCUGGGUCCCCCGCCCCCGCCGGGAAGUUCCUCCCCUGGGUCAUGGGUUUCCCCAGCUGGGGUGUACCUGGAUCUUGCCAAGUUCUCCGGUGCUCUCCAUUCGGCUGGCGACGUUGACCGUGUUUCCCCAGAUAUCAUACUGAGGCUUUCGUGCCCCGAUCACUCCAGCGAUCACAGGCCCGUGGUUUAUGCCUGAAGAUGACAUUUGCGGUUUUGCAGGUUGGGGAGGCAAAGCCUCAGGCUCUGCCCCUACGGGAGGCCACAGAGUCCAGCGGCAGCCCCAGGAAGCACCGACCAGCAGCUGAAAUGCAGGUUGGAGGGGGCUUCCCAAGCCUGUGACAAGACCUCUCACUCGGGACGUGGGAGAGGCGCUCCCUGGGCGGCCCUCUUCCCAGCUGCUCGCUCCCGACGUCAGGCUGAGGUCAUCACUUUUCCAGUAUCCGCUCAUCUCCCAGCAAAGAAUAAACGGGCUUUGAGCCCCAACCCCGUUAGCGAACACGGAGCAGUCAGGCUCGUAACUGCUUUGUUCUCAGUAUAUUUUAAGGAUUCCAGCCCGAUUUCUGGUUCUCCAUUUUCUGUAGUGAUACCUUCUGAUGUAAACUUUCAAAGGUAACUUUAUUAACAGUAUGCAAAGAAAGAGCAGUUACCCAGUUGCUGGGGUUGUGUGGCCAAGAGGGAUUUCUCAGACCUUUCCUACCAUCCAGUCAGGUGCACCGACAGACUCGAGCGUGGGCUUGCCGGGCUCCGGGACCCACCGCAGCCUCCCACCCUGGCGUGGCCCGGCCCGCCCUACCCUCGGGCCCUCACCGACUCGCAGGCGGAAGGAGUUGAAGGAGUGCCGGUUGAUGCCGUCCAGCUUGCUCAUCAGGGCGAUGCUGAACUCCACCAUGAUGCCGAUGUGCGCGUGCUGCCGCUCCAGGUCCUGUGGGACAGGGCGCUGCACGAGGGCCGUGGGAUCCCGUGCCCUGUCUUCCCUCCUCCACGGGGUGUUAGCCACCUGCACUCCCCACCAGAUGCCUUCCCCGGGCUGAGUCGUGAGGUCCUCUGCCCCUCCCUCAUAGGACAGGGCAGGAAGGGGUGUCCCCUCGAAGUCAGGUGAUAGGUCUGGGAACUGUUGAGUCCCCCGAACGUGGGGCUGGGACCCGCGGCCACCAGCUCAGCUCGGUACCUGGUUCUCAGACCCUGAGGGGACGCUGAGCCCCACGGCUGCCAUGUACGUGCUGCCAAUGGUCUUGAUCUUCUCCACACUGCUGAACUUGGGCUUUAGGAGCAGCUGCGGGACGAAGGGACACAGAGCCAUAUGGCCCAGCCACAGCCCCGGCCCACCCCAGGGUCUGAGAAGGGGUGGGGUCCCUCUCGCCACUGCUGCUAAGUUCUCACGCUCGGCCUCCCCGUGUGGGCAGACAGCCGGUCCAUGCAGGGACACGGCCUCUGGCUUGUCAGCCCUGCUCCUCCUGACUCGGGCUUCCCAGGGUUCGUCCGUCUGCUCCUCGGCCCCUCCUGGGGCACCUGGACUCUCCUUUUUAAGGACCAAGCACAAAGCACAGCCCAACAGUAUCUACCCAGGAAUGUCGACUGCUUGCAGCUGAGAAUCAAGUCCAAACCGACUGACUUCCUCUGAACCAGCUGGCAAGUGUAGACUUGCUGGAAAUCAAACUACAGGAGCCCCUCCCCUUACCCACUCCAGGACCCCCAGGGGAUGCCUAACACCUCAGACUCCCGAAGCCUAUACGGUGAGUGCUCCCGCCUGCACGUACGUCCCUACGAUGUUCAGCGUACAAGUCAGGCACAGGGAAAAGGUCAACAACAGAACAGAACAACGUCCUGUAAUAGAAGCUACGUGAAUGGUCUCGCUCAGAAAGUCUUUACUGUAUUCAUUCAUCCUCCUCCUCGUGAGGACACGAAGCGAGGUGAAUGGCCUGGCUGUUGUGACAUGGUGUCAGGCUACAGCUGACCUUCUGACCACACGUCAGGCGGAGGGUCCACUCCUUCCGGAACACCGCUGACCCGGGGAACUGAAACCGCAGAUAAGGGACUGCCGAGUUCUUCAAGGACCUAAAUCUAAUCUUCGCAGGCUGCCCGUCCCAGAGGAGAUAACAACACUUACUGAAGAAGCGAGGAGAGGCAGAUGUGCACCUUCGGCCCUGCGUGUCGCUCCCCACACGCGGCUCGCCGCGCCCCGCCUCCCCCCCAGCGGCUCGACCCGGAGGCCCUACCUCGUCGAAGUCGGAGAUGAUCUCGUUCAGCAGACGCAGGCACUCCAGCCCCUCCUUGUUGACGUCGCACUCCGUGUAGAAGACUUUGAAGUCCGGCACCGACGCAAACAUGACACACACGCAGUCGUAGGACUGAUGGUACCAGUCCUGGGUGGGGGCGGGGAAGGAAGCAGGCCACCUUAGGCCCCCCGGCCUCGGAAGGGACCGGGAGCAAACAGGGACACGGCUCCUCGGCCGCCCCACCAAACUCGGGAGGGGGCGCCAGGCAGGUGCCGCUCCACCCGGCUUCCACGGAGACCCAUCUGGGGGCUGUUACAGAAACAAGGCCGUGAGUCCGCUGCUUGGGGCAGGCCAGGCCCUGGUUGGCUUUGGCCCUUCGGUACCCUGGGUCUCCUGGCUGAGGCUGAGAGCCCCUGGGGUGGGAGGAGGUCCCAGAUCACAGGAGACCUGGCUUCCGCACCCAUUGGGCCUGCUUCCUUAUCUGUGAAACGGCGACCCAGAACUGGCGGAGCGCACGCUUUCAUCCACACGGAUUGUCCAGAUGACAAAUGCCUGGACGUACAUCUGGUCCUCACAGCCACCCUGACCCGUGGGCCCCCUCGUACAGGGGCGAGGUCCAGGGCCCCGGGACGUGAGGUCCCAGGGGCUGCAUCCGGACCCUCAGACGCCCUGUCCUAGUGACCCAGGCCCCGCUCGCACCGCACCUCAUUUAACUUGUCACCAAUGAAGUGUGCGGCCACGUGGGCUGGCAAGACGUUCUCCAGAAGGAGGCGGUUCACGUUCUCCAUGGUUUCAAACUCCUCGUGUUCCUUUUUGAACUUCUUCUUCCACAAGCAAUCCAAGCGGCAGUAAUAGUCAAUCUGCAGACGAUGGGGGAGCAUCAGUGUCCUGGCCGCGACAGAACGGGGAGCUGCUGGACACGAAGGGAAAAAGCAGGAGUCAUCUCCAGCCUCCUGCCCAGUCCUCGGAUGCAGGGGGCGGCGGGGGGCGGGCCAGAGCCAGCCUGCGGGAAGGCGUGAACGGGACAGAGAUCUCUGCCAUCCGAGCUCAUGUCCUCAUGGCGGAGACGCUAAAGGCAGCAGCAACUUGUACAGAAGAGGGUUUGACGGGGAGGUGACCGCGGCGACAGCACAGCUCACACCCGGAUGCCCAAGGAUAGCCACGGCAAAGUCUGCACGAAAAGCACUGCAGGCAGGUGAGUCCUCUGAGUGAGUCAGGGACUUCAGGUUGGCAGAUGGGGUUUGCAGGUGCCGCAGACCCACAGGAGCAGGUUUUGUUCUGGGUCCCGAAACUCCAGCCUUCUAAGUUCAAGGGGAGCCAGGCCCCUCUCCUCAACCCACAGGGGCCGAGAGCCCCCAAAAGCACCCACACGCCAGCCCUUCGGGUGUCAGACAACAGUGCUUUCCAGAACUCUCUGGACCUCCGGGACACAGAUGAAGGAGGGGGCCUGGACUAGAGCUGAGGCCUCCCCCCGACCCACCCCCCGAGCGGCAUAGAGACCGGAUGACCCAGGAGGCCUCCGUGCGACCAGGGGCGUCCCCCAGAGAACCUGCAAAUGAGUCCCUCUCCAGCUCCGAGCGUAGCGGCCCGAGACCGUCGCUUGCCUGGCCCAUGGCAAGCGUGCCACCUGCAGGUCCACCCCACAGGCGUCCAGUCCAGACGGGACCCAACGCAACCGUCCCGCAGCUCGAAACGACGGCAGAACCAAAGGGAGGUGCUGCCGUGGAGCGCGGUCGGGAUGGGCGCCGCGGGCCCCACCUGAGGGUGCCGUUGGUCUUGGUGAGGUUGGCCAGGCUGUGGCUGCAGCAGUCCCACUGCCAGCACGGGGAGAUGUUGAAGAGCACCAGGUAGGCCACCAGGGCCACCGUCAGCAGCACCACCUUCAGCUCCAGGCUCAUCCGCAGGAAGACGGAGCAGGCGACAAAGGCCAGGAUGCAGCUGCAGGUGUAAUACUGGGGAGGCGGGGGGAUGUCGGUCACCGCGAGGCACCCCCCGGACCAGGGGUCACCAGAGAGGGCCGCCUCUAGCCGCGGCACACUGACCCAGAGCCCUGGCCCCACUUGGGGGACCCGUGAGGAGCCGGCCUGUCUGCAGCACUGCCCUCUUGCCUUGACGACCCUUCUUAACAAAGCAGACAACAGAGUCUAAAACUUCA